AAAUAGUGUGUGUUCUAUAUUGAGCUGUUGCCGCCGUUGCUGAUGUGGCUUUAUGAAAGGACAACCUUAAAGUUCCACCACAAGAGGAAUAUAAAGAGGUCCCUCCUGCACCAAGAAAGAUCUGCAGAUCUUUUUCAGUGUUCUUGGAGGUGUGGGGUGUGAGAACUUGAUCAGUUUGUGUCAGCCACCUUGUUCUCUAAAGUUACAAAUUAUAAUACUGUGGUAGAAACAAAUUCAGAUUCAGAUGAUGAAGACAAACUCCAUAUUGUGGAAGAAGAAAGUGUCACAGAUGCAGCUGAUUGUGAAGGUGUACCAGAGGAUGACCUGCCAACAGACCAGACAGUGUUACCAGGGAGGAGCAGUGAAAGAGAAGGGAAUGCUAAGAACUGCUGGGAGGAUGACAGAAAGGAAGGGCAAGAAAUCCUGGGGCCUGAAGCUCAGGCAGAUGAAGCAGGAUGUACAGUAAAAGAUGAUGAAUGCGAGUCAGAUGCAGAAAAUGAGCAAAACCACGAUCCUAAUGUUGAAGAGUUUCUACAACAACAAGACACUGCUGUCAUUUUUCCGGAGGCACCUGAAGAGGACCAGAGGCAGGGCACACCAGAAGCCAGUGGUCAUGAUGAAAAUGGAACACCAGAUGCAUUUUCACAAUUACUCACCUGUCCAUAUUGUGAUAGAGGCUAUAAACGCUUUACCUCUCUGAAAGAACACAUUAAAUAUCGUCAUGAAAAGAAUGAAGAUAACUUUAGUUGCUCCCUGUGCAGUUACACCUUUGCAUACAGAACCCAACUUGAACGUCACAUGACAUCACAUAAAUCAGGAAGAGAUCAAAGACAUGUGACGCAGUCUGGGUGUAAUCGUAAAUUCAAGUGCACUGAGU
rnacentral:sRNA from 1 species